rnacentral:rRNA from 1 species
AUUGAACGCUGGCGGCAGGCCUAACACAUGCAAGUCGAACGAGUGGAGGAGGGGUGAGGAAAGGAUGGGAAACUGCCUGAUGGAGGGGGAGAAGGAGUGGAAACGGGAGCUAAGAACGAAGACCAGACGAUGUGCGGAGAUUGGCUUAGCUAGUAGGUGGGGUAAUGGCUCACCUAGGCGACGAUCCCUAGCUGGUCUGCGAGGAUGACCAGCCACACUGGAAUGGAAACACGUUCCAGACUCCUACGGGGGGCAGCAGUGGGGAAUAUUGCACAAGGGGCGCAAGCCUGAUGCAGCCAUGCCGGGUGUAUGAAGAAGGCCUUCGGGUUGUAAAGUACUUUCAGCGGGGAGGCGUUCCCCGCCUCCUCAGCACCGGCUAACUCCGUGCCAGCAGCCGCGGUAAUAC